rnacentral:rRNA from 1 species
CAAUAGCGUAUAUUAAAGUUGUUGCAGUUAAAAAGCUCGUAGUUGGAUUUCGGGGCAGCCUGGCUGGUCCGCCGCGAGGCGAGUACUGGUCAGCCGCCCUUCCUCUCGAAAGCCCCGACUGCUCUUCGUUGCAGUGGUCGGGUAGUUCGGGACGUUUACUUUGAAAAAAUUAGAGUGUUCAAGGCAGGCCUACGCCUGAAUACAUUAGCAUGGAAUAAUGGAAGAGGACCUCGGUCCUAUUUUGUUGGUUUCCAGGGCCGAAGUAAUGAUUAAGAGGGACAGUUGGGGGCAUUCGUAUUUAAUUGUCAGAGGUGAAAUUCUCGGAUUUAUGAAAGACGAACAACUGCGAAAGCAUUUGCCAAGGAUGUUUUCAUUAA